rnacentral:rRNA from 1 species
AGGACGAACGCUGGCGGCGUGCUUAACACAUGCAAGUCGAGCGGUAAGGCUCCUUCGGGAGUACACGAGCGGCGAACGGGUGAGUAACACGUGAGCAAUCUGCCCUUCACUUUGGGAUAACUUCCGAAAACGGAAGCUAAUACCGAAUACGACCAUCGCGGACAUCCGCUGAUGGUGGAAAGUUCCGGCGGUGAAGGAUGAGCUCGCGGCCUAUCAGCUUGUUGGUGGGGUAACGGCCCACCAAGGCGACGACGGGUAGC